rnacentral:lncRNA from 1 species
GAGCAGCUAGAGAGCAAUGGGCUCCCUUGCCGCCGCCAUAGAAAUGCCUCAUGCUGUUUGCAUACCGUACCCAGCACAAGGCCACAUAAACCCAAUGCUAAAACUAGCUAAAAUCCUUCACCACAAAGGCUUUCACAUCACCUUUGUUAACACAGAGUUUAAUCACAAACGUUUGCUUAAAUCUCGAGGCCCUGACUCUCUCAAUGGCCUCCCUUCGUUUCGAUUCGAAACGAUACCCGACGGCUUGCCGCCGACGGAUGUCGAUGCCACACAAGACAUACCAUCUCUAUGUUACUCAACCACAAGAACUUGCUUAGCUCCUUUUAAAGAGCUUCUUCAUAAGCUGAAUGAUCCCUCCUCUAAUGUUCCACCGGUCACUUGCAUAGUUUCUGACGGAGUCAUGAGCUUCACCGUUGAUGCAGCUGAAGAGUUGGGUGUCCCGGAAGUGCUUUUCUGGACUACUAGUGCUUGUGGCUUCUUAGCUUACCUUCACUUUCGCCAACUCAUUGACAAGGGCUAUACACCACUCAAAGGUACUUUAAUUUUCCAAGUAUCAAGUUCUGUUUUGGAAGUAAAGUUUCUCUAUGGCCUCCUCGUUUUGAGACAUUAUGGCUUUGGGGUCGACCCCGGUAACAAAGAAGGAAUCCAUAAAAAUUGGGGAUCCGACACCAUCUGCUGUACCGUACAUCCGCCUUGGCCGUACAGCAGAGAUCCCAGAGAAUGAUUCGAUCAUGCGGAUUGGAUCCAAUUUGUGGAAAGAAGAAACAGAGUGCAUUGAUUGGCUGGACACAAAAGAACCCAACUCAGUGGUUUACGUGAAUUUUGGUAGCAUCACUGUCAUGACGGCAAAUCAACUCAUUGAGUUUGCUUGGGGUUUAGCAAACAGCAAGCAAACGUUUAUGUGGGUCAUUAGGCCUGAUCUUGUUGUCGGUGACUCGGCGAUUUUGCCACCCGAGUUUGUGACGGAGACCAAAGAACGUAGCCUCUUGGCAAGUUGGUGUCCUCAAGAACAAGUUUUAAACCACCCUGCCAUUGGAGGAUUCUUAACGCACAGUGGGUGGAAUUCAACGCUGGAAAGUAUAUGUGGCGGCGUUCCAUUGAUUUGCUGGCCAUUUUUUGCGGAGCAACAGACAAAUUGUCGAUACAGUUGCAGAGAAUGGGGCAUUGGGAUGGAGAUUGAUAGUAAUGUUAAGAGAGAGGAAGUUGAAGUACUUGUCAGAGACCUAAUGGUGGGAGAGAAAGGCCAAGAGAUGAAACUGGAAGCUUUGGAAUUGAAGAAGAAGGCAAUAGAGGCAGCUACCGGUCCAGCUGGAUCGUCAUACGUCAAUCUUGAAAAGUUGAUUACACAUGUGCUUCUUUCUCCUACGAAUUAAUUGUUUUCUUUCUUUCUUUCUUUCUUUUUGGGGGGGGCUUAAUUUUCCACUUUGAUGUGACUAUAUAAAUUAAUCUGUCUUGUACUCUUGUAUUAAUUAAUUGGUUUCCAUGUAUUUCUUUAUUAUUAAUAAUUUUAGUUAUCAGGCACCCCAAUUUACUUUCUUAUGUUGUUAUUAUUAUUAUUAGGACAAUAAUUUCAACUCACUCAUCAUAUUAUUAUUAUCAGGCAUCCCAAUUUGACUUUUGACUUAUUAUUUGUUCUUAAGAAAAAAUUGGCAGCGUUGUCAGGUUGAGGAGAUUUUGAUGUAAUAACCAAAAAAAAGAAAAAAGGCUCCUACAAGAUGGCCCCUUUCUGAAGAUACGUCGCGCCUCGCGCGGUAAUCAUUAUCGUCAAUUGCGGAUCAUCUGAUUCAUCUCAUCUUUCGGUUUUGGUUGCAAACAGCAAUUUUCAUAUAAAUUUGGAUGACACGAAAUAAAGUUUAAUUUGUCCCAUUCGUUUCUGUUUUCAUCUCUUUCUAUCAGAAAAUUAUUAUUUUAAUUAUUUAAGAUAUGGAUGUCGAUAUAUAGAAAUUCCACCCACCGUAAUAUAAACUCUGCUGUACCGUACAUCCGCCUUGGCCGUACAGCAGUAACACAGAGUUUAAUCACAAACGUUUGCUUAAAUCUCGAGGCCCUGACUCUCUCAAUGGCCUCCCUUCGUUUCGAUUCGAAACGAUACCCGACGGCUUGCCGCCGACGGAUGUCGAUGCCACACAAGACAUACCAUCUCUAUGUUACUCAACCACAAGAACUUGCUUAGCUCCUUUUAAAGAGCUUCUUCAUAAGCUGAAUGAUCCCUCCUCUAAUGUUCCACCGGUCACUUGCAUAGUUUCUGACGGAGUCAUGAGCUUCACCGUUGAUGCAGCUGAAGAGUUGGGUGUCCCGGAAGUGCUUUUCUGGACUACUAGUGCUUGUGGCUUUUUUUAUAGGCGUGUAUUCAACUACUAUUAUUUAUUAUUAUUAUCAUUAUUUUUUAUAGGCGUGUAUUCAACUACUAUUAUUUAUUAUUAUUAUCAUUAUUGUUGUCGUUGGUGUUGUUGUUAUUGUUGUUGUUGUUGUUGUGAAUGAAAAUUUUAAACAUAAUAGAAUUUUAGGUUUUAUAAUAGGUCUAUCUCUUUAUAUUUAUAUUUACUAGUUUUAUAAUAGAUUUUGAAUUUUAUUUAAUACAUUCAUUUUAAUUCAAAUGAUCAAAUAAUUCUUUAUUGUCUUAGAUAAUUAACAAGAAAAACUAUGAAUAUAAUAUACUAAAAAUAACAUUAUAAGUAUCAUAUAUUAAUGUAAAAAAAUAUGUGUGUUAGUUAUAUUUUAUUUUUCAUGCUUUGUUAAGGUAAAGAUUAUCAUUUCUUUUACUAAUGAAAUACUUUUUUUUUGUAACUUGUCAUGUGUAUAACCAAUAAAAUAUAAUAUUAUUAUUAUUUAUGGGUUAUAUAUGUCAAAAUAUUUUAUUUCAAAUAUUUUAUUUUUGAAAAACAUACACUGCUGUACGGCCAAGGCGGAUGUACGGUACAGCAGUUUUUAUAUAUCUACUCCUUCAAUUAUUGAGAUGUUGGUAUUAUCUAUUGUAGGUAACCUGGAUAGAGCUGGCAAAACGGUUCACUAUGUCAUGUUCUUCUCAUGUCAGUUUCGUACCGUGUUAAUUCAUAUUGACCCAAACAUAGGGAUGACAGAAAUCCUCAUGGGGAUGGAGUCCAUCAGGGAUUUUUCUCAUUCGAGGUGGGUAGGGAGACGAUUUUAUAUCUAAUUUCUUAUUCGGAGAAGGGAGAUAAAUGAGAUUGAAUCCACAUCCUCUCCCCAAUUCCCCAUUUUUAUAAUUUGAUUUUUAAUUCUAUUUUUUUUAGAAAUAAUAAUGAAUAAAUAAUAAAAUCUAAAUUAUAAAAUAUUAAAUAUUAGUAUAAAUAACAAAUAUCAAAAUAUUUAUACAAAUAUACUAUGAAAUUUUCGUGUCCAACUAUAAAAUUGGAGUCCUAAAUUACUAUUUAAUCAUGUCUUAUUCAAAAGGUCUUGGCCCAAAAUUUUUUAUUUUUAACUUUUAUCUAAUAAAAUAAAAACUAAAACAAAAGUUAAAGCUAUAACAUCCAAAUUUUAUCAAGAUAUAUUGUCAAACUUUACUUUUAUUUUAAUAUAUUAAAUCAAAUUUAGAAACUAAAAAUGUAUUGGUUAUUUAGACGUUUUUUGGGGAUCAGAGAUCCUAUUUUUAUUAUUCGAGGAGGGGACGGGAAUUCAUUUUUGAUGGGGACGGAGAGGGAACGGGAUAUUUGCAAAAUAUUGGGGAUUGGUACGGGGAUAUUUUUUUCUGACGGGCAAGCAAUUUAACUGAGGUACCUUAGGUUGUGAGUUAAAAUAAUAUACAAAGUGGCCUGAGUUGGUCAUAUGAGAAAUAAUAGGGGAUAGCUCAACAGAGUCUCAUAGGAGUUAAUUUAGCGAGUUGAUCUAUUGAAAUUUUAAAUCUAUAUAAAAUUUUAUAAAUAAGACAAUAUAUAUGUUUAUCCUUCAAAAAAAUCGAAAAGAGAGAAUUAUGUCUAAUAUUUGAGUUUUAAUGAUUAAAAACUAUAAGUUAGUUUAGAAUAUAGAAUAUAUUUGUGUCAUUGGUCGGGUAAAUGGGUGAAAAACUUUAAUCAUAAGUUUUAAAAACCCUACAUAUGCACAUUUAGUACUCUACAUAUGCACAUUUAGUACUCACUACAUGAAUCACUCAAGUACCCCCUAUUAUUAUUUGGCUAGAAACCAACGCCUAAACUAAAACUUGGAGAGUAAUUGUUUAAUUAAAAUUAAUAUAUAAUUUUGAUAAGAGUUGAGCUAUUGAAACUCAUGUUAAACUCUUUCCACUCCAUUUUUAAUAUUAUUUAAGAGUUAAGUGGUUUUCAUCGAAUCUAGCUCAAAUUUGAUUCGAACAAAUAAAGUUAUAUUUAAAGGGAGCUUGUUCCCAGUUCGGGUCUAGGUGUGUUUUUCUGACGGGCAAGCAAUUUAACUGAGGUACCUUAGGUUGUGAGUUAAAAUAAUAUACAAAGUGACCUGAGUUGGUCAUAUGAGAAAUAAUAGGGGAUAGCUCAACAGAGUCUCAUAGGAGUUAAUUUAGCGAGUUGAUAUGGGGAGACUUACAUAUGAUUAGGUGUAGCUCAAGUGCACUGGAGAGAUAACUGAGGUGAUCUCAUAAAAUACUUAGUGUAACUAAAUUUUAACUUAUUUAUUUACUAACAACGCCACAUUUAUAAAUUUUAAUUUUUUUAUUUAAUAUACAUACAUACGUACGUACGUACAUACAUACAUAUAUGCAUAUAUAUAUAUAUAUAUAUAUAGUGCGGGACAGUCCGGGGAAAUUUUAAAAUCCUACGGUUUUAAUGCUUAAUUUCAUAAUGUUUUAAAAACAAAUUUUCUCGUACUUUAAAAUCUCAUACUUUAACCGAGGUACCUUAGGUUGUGAGUUAAAAUAAUAUACAAAGUGACCUGAGUUGGUCAUAUGAGGAAUAAUAGGGGAUAGCUCAGCAGAGUCUCAUAGGAAUUAAUUUAGCGAGUUGAUCUGGGGAGACUUACAUAUAAUUAGGUGUAGCUCAGGUGCAUUGGAGAGAUAAUUUGAGGUGAUCUCACAAAAUACUUAGUGUAACUAAAUUGUAACUUAUUUAUUUACUAACAACACCAUAUUUAUAAAUUUUAAAUUUUUUUAUUUAAUAUACAUACAUACAUACAUACAUAUAUAUAUAUAGUGCGGGACAGUCCCGGAAAUUUUAAAAUCCUAAGACUUUAACGUUUAAUUUCAUAAUGUUUUAAAAACAAAUUUUCUCGUACUUUAAAAUCUCAUACCAGCGAAUAUUAAUUUAUUGAAGCAAUUCCAUUUUCAAUCCACAAAUUAGAUAUUUUACGGAUCAAUGCUUUAGAUUUUGAAUACCCAUAAGAUGAUGGAAUAAAAACAAACUAAAUAUUGUAAAUUAAUUUGGAUUAAUGCUUUAUAUUUGCUGUUGAUAAAAAAGUUUUUAAUUUUGAAGAAAGAAAUUUAAGAAAUGUGAAAUUUUCAAUUGUGCACAGUAAACCGAAUGCCGUCUUUGUUUGUUUGUUUUUUUUAAUUAUUAAUAUGAUAUGCCAAUAAACUGUUGCUGACUUUCACUUACAUUAGAGGAUGUAACCUUGCUCUUUUAUCUUUUAUAGCUAUUUUAUAAUAAUACAAUUUGUAGGAUUUCUUAAUUUGCAACAUUCCAGUCUACAUGGUUUUUUUUUUCCCUAGGCAACUGUUACCGUAAAAAGAAACAGAAAAAGACAAGCAAAUAGAAACAUUUUUCUUAUAUUCUAAUCCUAGAUGCAAAUACUAUUUGUUCCAUUCAAGGGUUCAAACGUUUAUUGUUUUUUUGAAAAUUAAAAAAAAAAGAAAAGAAAAGUAAAGAAAAGUAAAAGGGAAUGAGAGGUAUGCAUAUGAGUGUUUAGCAAAAGAAUACUGUUUAUGUUUGGUGCGUGGGUUUAACUAAAUAUGUUUUAAUGUUUUAUGUAAUUUUAGUGAACGUAAAAGACGGAAAAUAUCAAGAGUACGUUAUAUCUCUCAAUUUGUUUUUUGAUAUUUCAAUAUUAAAAAGUGCGCCUCCAAUGACAUUAUUUCAAACGAAAUAGAGCCAUUAAUUGGCCGACUCUGAAAAGCCCGAUAUUCUCAAAACAUCAUUAACAUAUUACAAUAAUUGAUGUCGUUUACAUAGAUUUAUUUUAAUAUCCUAGGCUACAAACUGCUUCAACCUUGUUGAUGGGUAUUAAAAUAUUGUAUAAAUUUGACAAGGACACUACAUGGUUAAUGUAAUCCUUACGGAUCAAAAUUUUCUCUUGAUCUGAUCUUUAUUUGAAUAAGUUCUAUUAAUAUGAUUGGUGAUUAAUAAAUUAAAAAAAUAAUUAAAUCUUAAUCAUACAUUAAUACUAAAAUACAGGUGGGACAAAAUCUGUAAAAAAUCAGGAAAGGCCAAAUGGCGCAAAGUGGUAAGUCGCGACAAUAUAUUGACGUUAAAUAGGAAAGGCCAAAUCGGCAGUUGUCCUCGGCGAUGAAAUUAAUAAUGCCUACCUACGCAAAGAAUUUGAAUUCGCACAGGAAACACAUCCAUCCUAACGAAUGCUAGAGACAGUAAUUUUUUUAUGCGCCAAAGGUCAUCAGAACCCACCGUUGCUUUAGCAUUUUUUUUUUUUUUGGGUUUUGUUUAGAAACGUUAUAAUUGUUGGGAAAAUAUGCUCUUUAAAACAUAUGUGUUUAUUUAAUUGUAAUAAACAAUUUUUCUGAUUAAUAAAAUAGAUGAGGUAUUUUAUUUAAAUAUCUUAAUUGCAUUAAUAUUUGUAUUAAAGUCCAUUUAAUCAUAUUAUAUGUAUUUAUGUGAUCACCAUGUGGAUUCACAGAAGAUAUAAAUACAAGUUAUCUUAUGAUUAAAUAAAUUUAGUUCGCAGUUGAUAAAUAAAGUUGGGCACUUUAUUUAGGUAUAGACUGUAAUAAAUUCAUUGAAUGAUUUGUCUUAAUCAUGUAUGAAUUUAUUGAUGUAGUACGACUACAUUGAACAGGAUCACAUAUGAGAUUUAAUUAACUUUGUAAUAACUGUCAGACUUAUUAAAUCUCACUGCUGUACGGCCAAGGCGGAUGUACGGUACAGCAGGGGGAACACUAUCUCAGCUACAUUUUUUUAUUUUUUUUUUAACCUUUCAGAGUUGUGAACAUAUAUCAAUAUUAUCUAACCAUGCAAGAUAUUUAUUUUCGCUUAACCCUCUACAAUACUUCAAUUAUUUUACUCCCUUCUUUACGGUUUAAAGUGAUUUAAUUUGUGUUGGAUUGCAUAUGAGACUCAAAAUUUAUCAAAUACUUCUAAAUUCACCAUCACUUUCGAUUUGACAUACUAUAAUUUUAUUUUGACAUCUGUAAAUUCGCUUCACAGUUUCUACCGUAAAAUAGCUUAAACAGAUGCCACAAGCCAGCCUUCCGUUUCGAGAACCUUCGAGUGUUUCUUUCCGGGCAAGGACUGAAAUGGGAGCCCUACACAUGACCUUCCCAUUGGGCUUUUGGAAACCUUUAAGAGCUUUCAUUUGUCGAGUGCAUAAUGGGCUCACAUUUUGGGCCCUUUUGGGCCUCGGAUCUUAAUUGCAAUCAAAACCCUUUUAAACUCUUGCGAAACCCCGUAAUUUUCUUCGUUGCACUUACUACUAUUAAAAAUUACGAAAAAGGAUAAAACAUUAUAAUAGAGUAAAUCAAAUUUUAAAUAUAUUUUUUAAAAUAAAAAUCUUAUGCAAGAUAACUAGCUAUUUGGGUCAAAAGCCUAAAUAUAUCAUUUAGUGGGAGGCUCCAUUUAAUUAGCUUAUGUGUAAGGGGCCUUAUGUUAUUUUAUAUGGUGGGUCCCCUAUUAAAUGAAAAGUAACGUGAGUUUUAUUUAGGGCAUUAUUUGGAGCCUAGGAUUUUCACUAAAGGGAGAUAUAUAAGGCUUAUUUUCUUUAAAGGAAAAUAGAGAAGCCAUUUUAUACAUAACAGAGAAUAAGAUUUUUCUCUCUAUUGUUGAGAGAAAAAUUUUCUCGUGCUAGUUGCUUUGGUAGUGAUAAAGGCGCCCACACGUCAAGUGCAGAUCGAACCUGAGUCAUAACCUGGAAGAUCAUUGGAGACAGUUCGUGAUCUAACAAGCGUGGUGGUGACGGAUCGUGAUCUAACAGGAGUGGUGGUGGCGGAUCGUGAUCUAGGAGCCUAAAUCACUUCAGCGGAAAAAGCCAACUCGAAUUUUCAAGGUACGAUUUCUAGAAUACAAAUUCUUAUAUAUUAUAUGAGAGCGAUCUUCAAAAGGUUUUAUAAAAAUUUAAAAACCUAAUUUUUCCCCAACAAUAAUUUCAAUAGAAAAACCAAAUUCUGUGAAGGAUAAUUUCAUUUAAAACUCACGAUUUUCCUGUAUAAAAGAAACGAGUCAAUGUCUAGUUAUUUAUAUUAAUUAAUUCUUUUAAUUGGUAAUAUAUCAUUUAAAAUCAUGUAAAACAUUUUGGGAUUCAACUGUCAAUUAAGUAAGGUAUUGUUUGCAUUUAGUAUUGAGAUGUCGUAAUUAAAUUCACAAUUACAACAUCUGUUAUUAAUAUUGCUAUUAAAUAAAUUUGUUUCUUAUUAUAUAAAUUUUUUUAUUUUUUAUUUAUCCAUUUUUUUAUAUUCAAACUAUUAUGUAUUUUUUUUAAUGAGAAUUUCAAUAAGUGUGUUUUAUAAUAUGUCUGUCUCUUUGUAUAUAUAUUUACUAUUCUUAUAAUAUAUUUUGACUUUUAUUGAAUACAUUAAUUUUAAUUCAAACAAUCAAACAUUUCUUGAUUUGCUUAGGUAAUUAACAAGAAAAAAUAUCAAUAUAAUAUACUAAACAUAACAUUAUAAGUAUCAUAUAUUAAUGUAAAAAAUUAAGUGUGUUCAAGGUAUAUUUUAUUUUUCAUUCUUUGUUAAGGUAAACAUUAUCAUUUUUUUUACUAAUGAAAUAAAUUUUUUUGUAACUUGUCAUGUGUUUAACACUAAUAAAUUAUACAUAUUGUUAAUAUUUAUGAGAUUGUAAAUGUCAAAAUAUUAUAUUUCAAAUGUUUUAUUUUUUAAAAACAAACAACUUAACACUUAUAUUCAGAUAUUAAAAAAAAAUGUAAUUCCAAUAUAUGUAUUUAAACCUAUUAAGACUUCACCUAAAUUUAUACCCAAUUAAAUUUCAAACAAAAAAAAAACGCUAUCUAAGACUCAUAAAAUUUAAGUUUCAUAAGCCUAUUUUCAUUUUAUUAUCUAAUAUCACUAUGUUGAUCUAACAUAUAUUCUUAGUUAUCUUUAGUUUAUGAGUCAUAAAAUAUUAUUUUGUUGAUGCUCAAUAACAUUGACAUGAGAAAGUGAUAAGCUGAAUGGAGGUAGGAUGACAUUCUCUAGAGCAAAAUUGUAAUAAGAGAUUGUGAUAUGUAAUAAGUAAUUAGGGGGAUUGUCACUUUCCCCCACUACAGUAAUUAACAUAUACCAUUUACCCCCUUGCUAUUUUUAUAAUAACCAAAAACCUCAUAACAACAUAAGUUUACAACACUACCUUUAUUUUUAAUUACUCUUUUAUGUAUAUUUAUUAUAAAUUAAAUAAAUUACUAUCUUAUAAUAAAUUUUUAUUUGUCAUUCAAAUUUUCUUAUAAUAAUUUUUUUAAUCAUUUUAUAAUAACUUUCUCAUAUAUUUAUUAUAAGAAAAUUUUCACAAAAUAAAUAAGUACAAGAAAAAAAAUUUAUUAUUUUUUUCUCAUAUCAAAACAUAAAUUUCUUGUUUUUAAUGCUUAAUUUUUUAAUUAAUUUCUAUUCAUGUGAUUUAUUUAAUUUAUAAUAAAUAUAAAUAAAAGAGUAGUUGAAAAUAAGGAUAAUAUUAUAAACUUUUGCAGCAUUUGUCACAUGCUGUCAUAAUACAGAGUUCUCGUAGUGAAAAAUUAACAUAGCAGACAACCACGGAUCUUGGCAAUCCACCAACGGCUCACAUCGGACCUUGGUAAUCGGUUAAGGGCUCACCUCUUAUUAUCAUUAGUUUCUCUUUUCCGAUUUUUUAAAAAUUAAAAAAAAAAUCCGUUUACCUAUUCACAGACAUCCGAUAAAAUUGGAACGGGACAGAGAAAAUUAGCAUGGCCCCUACGCAAUGGCGGUGCCAGAAAUUAUUUGUAGGGGGGCCUAAAUUCACAUAUUAAUUUAACUCGAGAAAGUAGUCAACAAAUAACAUAUAUCAAAAUAAAAAUUCAUUAAAGUAUUUAAUUCAACACACUUAUAACUGUCCUCAGCGAUAUUUCAUAUGUUGAAAAUGUUGAAGAAUAACCUCAUUGUCAAGACUACAAAAUACAUCCUUUUCUAUGAAUACAACAAGACUAUCAUUCAACCAUUGAUCUCCUAUUUGAUUUCGCAGACGAUUUUUCACAAAAUUUAUAGUCAAAAAUGCCCUUUCUACUGUAGCUGUGGCAACCGGUAAAUAAACUAAUGAAUAUAAUUGAUCAUUUUUAGUCUCAACCAAUUUUUCUAGCUAGCUCACCAAUCCCUUUCAAUCCUAAAAAUUUCUUGUCAGAAUCUACAUCCAUAAAAUAAAUAUCAAGUUGAGUUUCAAGUGCCACAAGAUCUAUUAGAGAAAAAUCAUUUGGAUAAAACUCAGUAAGGCGAAGUAGUUUCUGUUUAUCAAAAGUUGCAAAUGAGUCAUUGGAAUAUAGACAUGCCACACAAAGAAACAACUCAAUAUUGGUUUCGUUGAAACGAUUGCUUAAUUCUUGAAGUUGCAUGUCCAAGAUGAAUUUAAUUUUUUUAAAAAUUCUAGGGGGGCUCAACUUUCAAGUGGCGCCGCCCCUGCCUCUACGCAAGGAUGACACGCACAAAUAAAAAAAUGGUUAUUUUAUCUACAACUUGAAUAUUAUCAGUUAUCUUUUAAUUAACUAAUUAUUUAUUUAUUAUUAUAUUAAAUUAUAUUAAUGGUUAUUUUAUCUACAACUUGAAUAUUAUCAGUUAUCUUUUAAUUAACUAAUUAUUUAUAUAUUAUUAUAUUAAAUUAUAUUAAAUUAUAUUAAAUAAAUAGUUAAAAUUAAAAUACUUAAAUUUAAAUUUAAGAGUGUACAACAAUUUCCACAAUUAAUAUUAUAAAAAUCCAUACAGCAUCAUACAAAAAUUCUCAGUCGGCAACUCAAAGACGAACCCUCUAUAAAAUUAAUAUAUGAAGAUAUAUCCUGGAAACCUACGGCAUAUAAUAUAUCUGUUAUUUUCACUUUACGGUUUAGUGUAGAAGUUCAUCUUUGAUGUAAACAAGAAAAAAAGGUCACGUGAGUAAAUGAAUUCAAAAGAUUAGGCGGCAGCCUAGUUUAAAUUUAUAUAUAAUUUUACCGGUCUUUCGAGCAGUGUUGGCUACAGAUCUCUUAUAAAUUGUUUUAGGAAAUUGUUACGGUACAUUGUACCUAAGCUAUACAUGUGUUAGUGAUGGUAACUGUAAAAUUGAAGUACCAUAUAUGAUAACAUAUGAUAAUAAGUUCCAUAAUUUUAGGCGUGAAAUUUUCAGUUUAGUAUUCAUUUGAUUUUUAGGCUUUCACAUUGACAAAGCCGAAAUAAUGCUUUCACAUUGACAAAGCCGAAAAAAAAAAUAAUAAUUGACACCGGCAUGUUUUGGCGGGCUAUAAAAGCGGGGAGCAUGCAAUCUCUCACAAAUUACCAUUUAGUUUUAUUACAAGAGCAGCUAGAGAGCAAUGGGCUCCCUUGCCGCCGCCAUAGAAAUGCCUCAUGCUGUUUGCAUACCGUACCCAGCACAAGGCCACAUAAACCCAAUGCUAAAACUAGCUAAAAUCCUUCACCACAAAGGCUUUCACAUCACCUUUGUUAACACAGAGUUUAAUCACAAACGUUUGCUUAAAUCUCGAGGCCCUGACUCUCUCAAUGGCCUCCCUUCGUUUCGAUUCGAAACGAUACCCGACGGCUUGCCGCCGACGGAUGUCGAUGCCACACAAGACAUACCAUCUCUAU